rnacentral:rRNA from 1 species
UACGUAGGGGGCAAGCGUUGUCCGGAAUCAUUGGGCGUAAAGAGCGUGUAGGCGGCUUGGUAAGUCCGCUGUGAAAGUCCAGGGCUCAACCCUGGAAAGCCAGUGGAAACUGCCAAGCUAGAGUCCGGAAGAGGCGAGUGGAACUCCUGGUGUAGCGGUGAAAUGCGCAGAUAUCAGGAGGAACACCAAUGGCGAAGGCAGCUCGCUGGGACGCGACUGACGCUGAGACGCGAAAGCGUGGGGAGCAAACAGG